UCUAAUUCUGAGAUAACUAAUUUCCUCCCUCUAUUCCCCCAAUGUUUUUGUUAUUUGUUUUCUACACGCUCUUCAUCAUCUCUUUUGGUGCAGGAGAGAGGUGUUGAUGCAGCUGACUCGAUCUCAUUCAUGCUGGAACUUAGUUUUCAUGUCAUUGGGGAGGCAUAUAAUAUAAACUCAUUAACCGAUUUCCAGAGGAGCAUAAUUAGGGAUCUAGUAGACCUUGGAUUGGUCAAACUUCAACAGGGUAGGAAAGAAAGUUAGUUUAUACCUAUGAAAUUGGCAACAAAUCCUUCAGUGAGCUUGGCUAAUUCGUCAUCUAAAAAGGAGGUUUCUUCUUUUUCCUUGGAUUGAUUUAUUUUGCUAGAAAUUUAGUAAAUUGGCCUUGUUUCACUGUA